rnacentral:rRNA from 1 species
GACAGAGGGUGCAAACGUUGUUCGGAAUUACUGGGCGUAAAGCGCGUGUAGGCGGCUACGCAAGUCGGAUGUGAAAUCCCAUGGCUCAACCAUGGAAGUGCACCCGAAACUGCGUAGCUUGAGUCUCGGAGAGGAAGGCGGAAUGCUUGGUGUAGAGGUGAAAUUCGUAGAUAUCAAGCGGAACACCGGUGGCGAAGGCGGCCUUCUGGACGAUGACUGACGCUGAGACGCGAAAGCGUGGGAGCAAACAGG